AUUGAACGCUGGCGGCAUGCCUUACACAUGCAAGUCGAACGGCAGCGCGGGAGCAAUCCUGACGGCGAGUGGCGAACGGAUGAGUAAUAUAUCGGAACGUGCCCAGUAGUGGGGGAUAGCCCGGCGAAAGCCGGAUUAAUACCGCAUGAGACCUGAGGGUGAAAGCGGGGGAUCGCAAGACCUCGCGCUAUUGGAGCGGCCGAUAUCAGAUUAGCUAGUUGGUGGGGUAAAGGCCUACCAAGGCAACGAUCUGUAGUUGGUCUGAGAGGACGACCAGCCACACUGGGACUGAGACACGGCCCAGACUCCUACGGGAGGCAGCAGUGGGGAAUUUUGGACAAUGGGCGCAAGCCUGAUCCAGCAAUGCCGCGUGCA
rnacentral:rRNA from 1 species